UACCAUUGCAGGGCUUCUACGGUCUUGCAAUUGGAAUGAGUACAAUUUAAAUCCUUACGAGGAUCAAUUGGAGGGCAAGUUCUGGUGCAGCAGCGCGUAAUUCCAGCUCCAAAAGCGUUAAUUAAAGUGUUGCCGUUAAAAAGCUCGUAGUCGAACUUCGGGUCCUGUCCGCCGGUCGCUUCUUGGUGUGUACUUGUUGGAUGGGACCUUACCUCUGGUGAACGGCGAUGUCCUUACUGGGUGUCGUCGCAAACCAGGACGUUUACUUUGAAAAAAUUAGAGUGUUCAAAGCAGGCCUUUGCCCGAAUACAUUAGCAUGGAAUAAUAGAAUAGGACGCGCGUUCCCAUUUUGUUGGUUUCUGAGAUCGCCGUAAUGAUUAAUAGGGAUAGUUGGGGGCAUUUGUAUUCCGACGUCAGAGGUGAAAUUCUUGGAUUGCCGGAAGACAAACUACUGCGAAAGCAUUUGCCAAGGAUGUUUUCAUUGAUCAAGAACGAAGGAAGGGGGAUCGAAAACGAUUAGAUACCGUUGUAGUCUCUUCUGUAAACUAUGCCAAUUGGGGAUCGGCACAGGAUUUUUAAUGACUGUGUCGGCACCCGAAGAGAAAUCUUUAAAUGAGGUUCGGGGGGGAGUAUGGUCGCAAGGCUGAAACUUAAAGGAAUUGACGGAAGGGCACCACCAGGUGUGGAGCCUGCGGCUUAAUUUGACUCAACACGGGGAAACUCACCAGGUCCAGACACAAUAAGGAUUGACAGAUUGAUAGCUCUUUCUUGAUCUUGUGGUUGGUGGUGCAUGGCCGUUCUUAGUUGGUGGAGUGAUUUGUCUGGUUAAUUCCGAUAACGAACGAGACCUUAACCUGCUAAAUAGACCAGCCGGCUUUGGCUAGCUGCUGUCUUCUUAGAGGGACUAUCAGCGUUUAGCUGAUGGAAGUUUGAGGCAAUAACAGGUCUGUGAUGCCCUUAGAUGUUCUGGGCCGCACGCGCGCUACACUGACAGAGCCAGCGAGUCUACCACCUUUGCCGGAAGGCAUGGGUAAUCUUGUGAAACUCUGUCGUGAUGGGGAUAGAACAUUGCAAUUAUUGUUCUUCAACGAGGAAUACCUAGUAAGCGUGAUUCAUCAGAUCGCGUUGAUUACGUCCCUGCCCUUUGUACACACCGCCCGUCGCUACUACCGAUUGAAUGGCUUAGUGAGGCCUCCGGAUUGGCUAUGGGAGCUCGCGAGAGCAUCCGACCCCCAAAAAUA
rnacentral:rRNA from 1 species